ensembl:misc_RNA Metazoa_SRP Metazoan signal recognition particle RNA
GCCGGGUGCGGUGGCGCCGCGCCUGUAGUCCCAGCUACUCGGGAGGCUGAGGCAGGAGGAUCGCUUGAGCCCAGGAGUUCUGGGCUGUAGUGCGCUAUGCCGAUCGGGUGUCCGCACUAAGUUCGGCAUCAAUAUGGUGACCUCCCGGGAGCGGGGGACCACCAGGUUGCCCAAGGAGGGGUGAACCGGCCCAGGUCGGAAACGGAGCAGGUCAAUCUUCAUGUCCCACUGUGACUUCCCAUCCUCUUGCCACCCACAACCUCCUUACAAUAUUUUGAUGAUCUAAUUAUAUAUGUUCCUCUUCC